UACGGGGGGAGCAAGCGUUGUUCGGAUUUACUGGGCGUAAAGGGCGCGUAGGCGGCCACCGCAAGUCGACUGUGAAAUCUCCGGGCUUAACCCGGAACGGUCAGCCGAUACUGCGGGGCUAGAGUGCAGAAGGGGCAACUGGAAUUCUCGGUGUAGCGGUGAAAUGCGUAGAUAUUCGCAAGAACACCAGUGGCGAAGGCGGCUCACUGGCCCGGUACUGACGCUGAGGUGCGAAAGCGUGGGGAGCAAACAGG
rnacentral:rRNA from 1 species